UACGUAGGUGGCAAGCGUUAUCCGGAAUUAUUGGGCGUAAAGAGCGCGCAGGUGGUUAAUUAAGUCUGAUGUGAAAGCCCACGGCUUAACCGUGGAGGGUCAUUGGAAACUGGUUGACUUGAGUGCAGAAGAGGGAAGUGGAAUUCCAUGUGUAGCGGUGAAAUGCGUAGAGAUAUGGAGGAACACCAGUUGCGAAGGCGGCUCUCUGGACUGUAACUGACACUGAGGCACGAAAGCGUGGGGAGCAAACAGG
rnacentral:rRNA from 1 species